rnacentral:rRNA from 1 species
GAUGAACGCUGGCGGCGUGCCUAAUACAUGCAAGUCGAGCGAACGGACGAGAAGCUUGCUUCUCUGAUGUUAGCGGCGGACGGGUGAGUAACACGUGGAUAACCUACCUAUAAGACUGGGAUAACUUCGGGAAACCGGAGCUAAUACCGGAUGAUAUUUUGAACCGCAUGGUUCAAAAGUGAAAGACGGUCUUGCUGUCACUUAUAGAUGGAUCCGCGCUGCAUUAGCUAGUUGGUAAGGUAACGGCUUACCAAGGCAACGAUGCAUAGCCGACCUGAGAGGGGGAUCGGCCACACUGGAACUGAGACACGGUCCAGACUCCUACGGGAGGCAGCAGUAGGGAAUCUUCCGCAAAGGGCGAAAGCCUGACGGAGCAACGCCGCGUGGGUGAUGAAGGUCUUCGGAUCGUAAAACUCUGUUAUUAGGGAAGAACAUAUGUGUAAGUAACUGUGCACAUCUUGACGGUACCUAAUCAGAAAGCCACGGCUAACUACGUG